rnacentral:lncRNA from 12 species
AGAUUAUUAUAGUCUGAUGGAUUCAGAGAGACAAUUAAUCCUGAUAAAGAAAAAGCCAAAAUGAAAAACCAAAGCCCAGACUGAGGUUUGAAAGUAGCAAGGACAAUUUCAAACAAAAACUUCAAAACCAA